rnacentral:lncRNA from 1 species
UCCUUUAUGUUUUAAAUUAUCCUUCAUCAUUAUUGUUACUGUGUUUUAAUUCACUAGGCCAGAAGCUGCAGCAAAUCCAAAGAUGGAUUACACUGUCAUAUCUCUCUACCCUCAAGGAACUAUUGGGGACAUGAUGACUAAUAAGGCAGAAUAUAUGCCAUAAGAAAGCAGUCAAAAGGAAAGAGAGAUCACACUUGAUGAAGAUGGAAGAAAAGAGGAUUAUACUUUUGUAUUUCCAGUUUUUAUUUUUUAAUAAGUAAUUCUUUUAGAUAGUCCAUAAUUCAGAACACAUAAAAUGUCAUACAGCAGAAGGUCAUGUUUUUUGCCCCCACCCUCCAAUCACCCAGGUGUUAGC